rnacentral:lncRNA from 1 species
AAUUUCCUUCUGCAGAAGAAAGAGCAACAGAUCUUAUUUGACCUCUGUUUGAAAGAUUUUCCAACUUUUAAUUCAAUAUACAUUUAAUGGGCAUUGGACAAACUGUGACUUGAGACAUGUUGCAACUAACUUGACCUCCACUCCUGAGGAGCCCACAGCAGAGGGAGAGAGAUUCAGGAGUGGAAAGCCAUGCGACAAAAAUGGGAAAUGUGAUAUUUCAGUGGGCAGAGCUAACCACUAGUUAACCAUAAAGGUCUGGAGGUCUGGACAGAGAAGAGACAGGAAAUGACAACACAGGGUGGAGACACGAAGUGCAUAAGGCUGGGCAUACACAGGAUCUCAACUCCUUUCAGUUUGAGGAUUUGGAGAGAGCCUUCAUCCAGUGGCUGAUGGAAGCAGAGGCAGACACCCACAGAUAUACACUGAACUGAACCCUGGAACCUCGUUGCAAAGAGGGAGGAAUGAAGAUCAAAGGGGUUGAUAGCAGGCUGGUGAAACCCACAGAAUCAGCUGGCCUGAACAAGGGGGAGCACAUGGACCCCAGACUGUUGUCUGGGAGGCCAGCACAGGACUGAUCCAGACCCCUGAACAUGGAUGUCAAUGAGGAGGCCUCAGCACUCUAGGAGGCCCCUGGUAGUGGAUUAAUAUUUUUCUCUGGUGUAAGAAGGGACUUUGAGAGUUCAUCCCACGUGAAGGGAUGCACUCUCUGCCUGGACACAUUGGGGAGGGCCUAGGCCCGGCCCAGGAUGAUGUUGUGGAUUUUGGGGAGCCCCCGUCGAGAGCCCUAUCCUGCCUGGGGAGUGGAG